CGUCCUUACCCAGACGUGGAAUCCACGAUCUCUCGUCUCUCCACGUCGCAUCCCAAUCCCCAUCUCGCUUCUCGCUUCUUUGACCGGCGGCGCCGAUGCUCCUCCGCCGCGGCGCCGCCUCCUCCUCCUCUUCCAUGGCCUUUCCAGCGCCAUCGUUUUACCCGUCCUCCAACAGUGCUUCCCUAAAGUGUACGGUGGUGGCUGCGCUCGAUGGAGGGGCUCAACGGCGGUUUCAACAUAGCCUUGAGGUCGGGGACCUGGCGGCGGCGUCGGAGCCUCUAGCACAGGGGUUUGGCAGCGGCGGCUGCUGCUGGAGGUCCCAGCGAUUUAAGGUCGCUGCGGCUCUCCCAACAGUUUUUUGGAGGUCUUCGACGUGGUGACGACGCAUCGAGUUCGACGGGUCACUGUCGCCGCUGGCGGUUAGGUGCGUGAUUAGCAGCUCCCUGUGUUUUCCCCUUUCAUCAAUGGGCUUGUGAUUCAAGCGAUUACAUUGAUUUAAAUGUGGAUUUCGAGUUUCUACUGUCUACUGGGUAGGCCAAUGGCAUAGAGGAGGAUUAGGACGAGAAGAAGCUGUCCUCUCUGUUGCCUCUCCUGUACAGCCCAACAUACUACUAUCAUAUUGUCUGUAGCUAGCACAUGCAGAAGAUAGACUGGCAGGAUGAGGUGGUGGUGGUUCUUCCCCAGACCCGUCACUGCUCUGGUUGCAUUUAUUACCUUUUGGGUUGUUGUCCUAUGAAUUGAGCCUAAUUAGUUGAUAUUCAACAGCUGGAGGUUAUAUUUCCUUUUUACAUUGCAUCUUCUUGGUUGUUCAACAGCAGUGAUAGCAUUUGUUCCCUUAGUGAAACAGCUAUCUUGUUGUAGCAGUGAUAGCUUUUGUUCCCUUAGUGAAAUAGCUUUUGGCAAAUUGUACUAUCUUGUUGUAUUGGCUAGAUGAGUGUCCUAGAUGUUUAAUAUGGCCCGAGGAGUUUGCUAAGAUGUGUGACAGAAUUCAAAAAUAUAUUUCAAUAGAAUUUUUGUUGUUACCUCUAAAUAAAAGAAUAAUGUUCUAAAUGAUAACUAUAUUAUGUUGAAUCAUCUCUAAAGAGUUCCUUCUGUUUUUGUUCCCACUGGUUCCAUUUACAUGGUCAUGAAGCAGUUUGCUUGCUGGACCUUUUGCGUCGCUUACAUGGCUCCUCCCAUUAUAUCUGGCUUUUAGGUAAAGACUAUUCAUUUCUUUGAUUGUUGGAUAACUAAGCCAGGGUGAUGUGAAUUGCUGAUUGCUGAUUCUACUGUAUUUAAUACAAAUUUUUCCUAUCUUUUUAACAGUGCUUCAGAGGGCAAUGAAUUCUUCUGAAGUUUUCCAUUGUUACCUGUUUUCAGUUUCAGUAAAAAACUAAGCUCUUCAAUGUAAAUGGGACAACAAUUUGAAUAGUUACUAUAAGAUCUUUUGGGAUCAAAAGAUUUACUUGUUGCAGGCUUAACUUUCAUUUACAUUGCAGAAACUUAUCAUUGGUAGAUAAGGAUGUGUUAAAAGGGGCUUGCUUAGUACAACUCAAGGCGAGGCUAAUACUAUGCCAUUCAGAACACGAUAGCCAUGACAGCCAGGCAAAGGCAACGGAAAAAGGAACUACAUAUGCUUGCAUUGAAGUUUCUUUGGGGAACCAGGAGAUGCUUUAAUCUUUAUUGAUGUAUUGUCCUAUGGUUUGUUGGAUAGUCGAUCUACAAAAUUAAUCCUAGCACUCCCAAUUUACCUACAAGAGGUAUUCUUGGAUGGGUACAACAUGUUAGUUUGGUUCGGUUUUGUCAAUACAAAAUCAUGAGGAUUUCUAGAUGUGUAUAUUCUGUGAUAUUAUCUAUAAUUUGAUAUAUAUUAAAUUUAUCUGAUUAUACAUGAGUUUAUAUAUGCGACACCAUUACGAACUGCUACUAUAGUCUCCCCGUGUUCUCUUCAUACACAUGAAUAACAUAUAUGGUACAAUAAAAGAGAAUUGUAGUUUUACAGCCUCUGUGCAAGUAGCUUUUUAAGUUUAAAUGGUAAAUAUUUAGUUUUACCUUAAGAGAAGUUUACCAAAAAAAAGUUCUUUCAACUGAGAUGCUUAUGAUGUGUGCUUGAUGUCGCCUUAGUCAAUCUUGAUAGGCCCAAGAUCCCCGCUCAAUCUUCAAGGAAUAGGUUUACUUCAUGAUAAUUCAUGUCUCAUGUUAAUAUUGGGAGAGGCAACCCACUAUGCUCAGCUCAUGGAUCUUCAGGAAUGGAGCUGCCAGCAUCUUAUUGACAAACAAAUACAAGGAAAAAUACUCCAUGCACAUCAACGGUUAAUGCUUUUCUAUGAGCUGGUCUUAAUAUCUCUAGGCUGCACUGUGUUAGGCUGGAGCACCCCGGUCCAAUUCUUUUGCCUACCAAAUAAACUUACCAACACCAAGCCAGUUGAGUGCUGCAAUGUGCAAAUUAAACAAUAUGGUCUCUGUAGCCUGCUCAGCAGGAAAACCAUUUGAAAUACCUGUGGAAAUAUCCCUAAACAUGCAUUAACCAUGAUGAUCAUUUUUUUUUAAAUACUGUACGGUAGGUAGAUCGAUAUUUGUCAACGCCUUAGCUAUACUAGAAUACGAGGGGCAUCUAAGAGAAAAAUACAAAUAUUGAAGGCUCUCAUGGUAGUUUGGUAGCUAAUUAAUCACAUAGGUGAUGUAUAUUUGUUUCUAGCAUUUAUAUCAGUCCAUUGAUUCACAGUGGAUACUCAGUUAUUGCAUUUAGAUGUCUCUUUUCAGGAACCUUUAUAUUUAAGUUCCUUUA